GGUAACUUGCUGGGUUCCUUUCCCAGCAGUGUGGAAGCUUUGUUCUUUUGCUCUUUGCGCUAAAUCUUGCUGCUGCUCACUCUGGUCUUUGGGUCAGUACUGCCUUUAUGAGCUGUAAUACUUACUGCUAAGGUCUGUAGCUUCACUUCUGAGCCAGCAAGACCAUGAACCCACCAGAAGGAGGAAACUCGGAACACAUCCAAACAUCAGAAGGAACAAACUCCAGACGCACUGCCUGUAAGAACUGUAACACUCACUGCGAGGGUCUGUGGCUUCAUUCUUGAAGUCAGUGAGACCAUAGAACCCACCAAUUCCGGACACAGGGAUAGAGCAGUGACCAUCUAAGGGCUCUCAGGGCCAGGCCGGGAGCCAGGAAGAGCAGCUGCGUCGGAGCUGGGCAGCUUUUGGGGUCCGUGGGUCACUGUCAACUGGACUUUGCAUCCAGGAAGCGUUGGUUCCUUUUACAGAGUGUCACUGUGAUAGUGGGGUGUGUUCGUGUUUUACACGUUUAAAAUGGUGCUGGAUGCCUGACAGAGCCCUCAUGACUGUUUAACACAUUUUCUUGAAAUCACAAAAUUGACUAUAAAAUGUUCCUCGGAAGUUUUCCAGACUGCGGGCAUCCUGGAACACCGGCCAGUUUUCACCUGUUUCUGGACGUUGUGUCGUGGAGCCGUCUUUGUAAGGGACUCGGAUCACGCGUUUUCUUUGCUGAGUCGCCUUCCACGUGGCUUUGUCUGUUCUGUGGUUGGGGCGUCUCCUCCCUCCCACACGGGGUGUGCUGUGCCACCCUUGGAGGGCCUUCUCCCAUCGGGCCCCGCAUCUCCCGCCUGGCCUGUGGAGUGGAGUCCCCUGCCCUUGCUGCUGCUGUGGCCUCAUCUCCCAACUCAGCCUUGGCCUCCAGUGACAGGGCUGGAACCCUGGCAGCAGAGCCACCACGGCAGCGACUCAGCUGUGGCCUCCGGUGACAGGGCCGGGACCCCAGCAGGACCUCCACCAUGGUGGCAAGGCCUGGACCCCAGUGUGGGAUCACGCUUCUGCAGCUGUCCCUGAUGAAGUUGCCUGGGCACACCAGAGUGUGGGAGAGUGGACGGCGCGGCCCCUCCUGCACUUGGAGCUGCUCUCAGAUCUUGGGCUGUGACCCCUGUGGGUGACACGAAGUUCAGUGAUUGUCCUCCUUCUGGACUGAGGGACAUCCAUCCACACGCGCCCCCUCCACAGCCCGAUCCCAUCACGUCCUGCUCGUCCAACAUGGGCCUUAGAUCCUGGGGUCUCUGCUGAGUGCCUCCCCUCUGAACGCCCGGCUGGCACUUUCACGGUGAAGCCAGCUGUCAUGGACACCGACGGCAGGUGGCCUUUCUGCGUUGUCUACCGGCUGAUCUUGAAAGUGAAAACGGACAUUGUCUGCCCUGUGGUGACCGUGUUGGGUGAUGGUCCUGGGGUCAGGCCCUGCAUGCACCUUCACCCAGGGAUGGCUUCUUAGCUGACAGCGGCUCUGCCAGGAACCACGAUCACCCUCCAGUUUGCUCUUUGUGCUGAAUUUUAUUGACAUGAAAUUCGCAUGACGCCAACUUUAUCGUUUUAAAGUGAAUGGUUAAACAGAAUGCGGCACUUUCACAGGGCGGCAUGACCCCCACCUCUGUCUGCCUUCAGAACAUUUUCAUCCCCCACGAAAGGAGGAAGCGCAGUCCCCAGGAACAGUUACUCCUCAUUUCCCCUCCCCAGCUCUGGCUUCCGCAACCACGAAUCUGCUUUCUGUCUCCGUGAAUUUGCCUCUUUCGGAUAUAUUUCACGUAAAUGGAGUCCCGUGAUAGAUGAGCUGUGUCUGCCUCUUGCGGGCAGCACAGUGUCUGGAAGGUUCUCCGUGCAGCCGCAGGGGUUGGCGCUUCCUUCCUCCCGAGGCUGACCCGGCCCCGUCGUACGGGGAGUCCACUGUGUGUCUGUCUUUUGGCUGCUGUGAGCCUGGGUGUGCCGCCUGCUCCAGCCCAUGUUUUCAGCUCUUUCAGGUGUGGAGGGAGGAGUGGAAUUGUGGGAUCAUAUUGUAACUUUAACUUUGGAAGGAUCUGCCAAAUUACCCCUCUAAUUUGUUUUCAAUUUUAUUCUUAUUUCCCUGUCACUUGUUCUUUCUUUUGACUGGUUAAAAAAAAUGGCAAAGGUCUUCAGCAAAACAAGAAGUGAGUUUCAAUUGAACCGUGAAUUAAAUAUGAUACACUCAAAAUCUGACCAAUAAUACAUUUUAAUUUUCCCCACACAUUUACGUCCACGUUAAUUUCAUGGAAAUCAAGAUGCUUUUGCCUCUGUUCUAAAGUAUUUAUUUUUUUUAAGACAGGUUCUUACUCUGUUGCCCAGGCUGGAGUGCAAUGGCGCGAUCUCAGCUCACUGCAGUCUUGACCUCCCAGGCUCAAGCAAUCCUCCUGCCUCAGCCUCCUGAGUAGCUGGGACCACAGGUGUGCAUCACCAUGCCUGGCUAAUUUGUUACAUUUUUAGUAGAGACGGGGUUUCACCAUGUUGGCCAGGCUGGUCUGGAACUCCUGACCUGAAGCGAUCCUCCCACCUCAGCCUCCCACAGUGCUGGGAUUACAGGCGUGAGCCACCACGUGCAGCCUGAAAGUAUUUUUUUUUAGAGUUUCCUAAAAGUUUCAUCAUCCCUUUUGUUUUCCUAACAAGCUGUGAAACCCAGUGGGUUUUAAUUGUGAAUCAGCACCAAAACACAUGCAGAUUUAAUUUUUAAUUGAAAUGAUGGACAAUAAACAGAAUUAAUAACUCAAAUGCUUGAAGUCUGUCAAGCAUGGUGCUUUGUCUUUGCCAUGGACAUGAAAAAGCAGCAUUCCCCUCCGGACUUGAGGCUGGGGACCUUC
rnacentral:lncRNA from 1 species